UAGCCACGGCGAACUACGCUGACCUGAAAAACUGUCUGUCAACUGUCAAGAAGACCAAUUUUGUUGUUGUUGAUAACUUCAUUGGCUUCAUCACUGCAAAAAAACAUUCGAAUCUGACAACAGGUUGCAUAGUGUUUCUGCAGAAAAAUGCAACUCAACAUCAUUCUAACAAAACCCUGGGGGAGGAGUGGCCUCUAAUAGAGG